AUAUAUAUAUAUAUAUAUAUAUAUAUAGGGAGAAUUCACAAAAAAACAAAAGACGAAGACAGGUGGUGUAGACAACAAAUAGAUGUAUUAGUAUAACGCUCAAGUAAUGAAAAAGUCCUUAAUGUUUCAAGACUACGCUCUUUCACA